CUUUAGCUCAGAUGGUAGAGCAUCUGAUUUGUAAUCAGAGGGUCGUGGGUUCGAUUCCCACAG
rnacentral:tRNA from 1 species